AGGAUGGUUUAUUCCAAGCAUCAUCAUUUGAAGUAGCCAGCCCUGUUUUCCUCCAAAAUUUUGAAACUUUGGAUUCUAGAUUUUUAUUUGUCUGUGAUUCUUUCAGGAAAACCCUACUGAUCAUUAGACUCGCUUGCUUUGUGAUUAACUCUCAUUUCACUUAAGACUUAUUUUACCUACAGCAUAAGAUUCCAUUUGGACAAAAAAAAAUGUAAAUAUGAAGGUCUUGAGGAGCUCAUGUGGUGGGCUGCCACAUGCUAUGUUGUGCACAGACUGCCAGGCUGUUGGAUCAGCAAGCAGAGCACCAUCCUGCUCACAGCCUGCAUCCUGCAGCCAGUAACCCCUGCUGGAGCCCAGAGGAGUGAAAGGCCUGAGAACCACACAGGAGCAGAGUUCAGGUGAAAUAAAGA
rnacentral:lncRNA from 12 species